CUACGGGAGGCAGCAGUGAGGAAUAUUGGACAAUGGGUGCAAGUCUGAUCCAGCCAUGCCGCGUGCAGGAAGACGGCCCUAUGGGUUGUAAACUGCUUUUAUACGGGAAGAAACACCCCUCUUAGAAAUUGACGGUACCGUAAGAAUAAGGACCGGCUAAUCCGUGCCAGCAGCCGCGGUA
rnacentral:rRNA from 1 species